rnacentral:rRNA from 1 species
CCUACGGGAGGCAGCAGUGAGGAAUAUUGGUCAAUGGGCGCGAGCCUGAACCAGCCAAGUCGCGUGAAGGAUGACUGCCCUACGGGUUGUAAACUUCUUUUAUAAAGGAAUAAAGUGAGGCACGUGUGCCUUUUUGUAUGUACUUUAUGAAUAAGGAUCGGCUAACUCCGUGCCAGCAGCCGCGGUAAUACGGAGGAUCCGAGCGUUAUCCGGAUUUAUUGGGUUUAAAGGGAGCGUAGAUGGGUUGUUAAGUCAGGUGGGAAAGUUUGCGGCCAAACGGUAAAAUUGCAAUUGAUACUGGCAGCCUUGAGUGCAGAUGAGGUAGGCGGAAUUCGUGGUGUAGCGGUGAAAUGCUUAGAUAUCACGAAGAACACCGAUUGCGAAGGCAGCUUACUAAACUGCCACUGACGCUGAUGCUCGAAAGUGUGGGUAUCAAACAGGAUUAGAUACCCGGGUAGUC